rnacentral:rRNA from 1 species
UACAGAGGGUGCGAGCGUUGUCCGGAAUCACUGGGCGUAAAGCGCACGUAGGCGGCUCUCUAAGUCGCAUGUGAAAGCCCCAGGCUUAACCUGGGAAGUGCAUGCGAUACUGGAAAGCUUGAGUACUAGAGGGGGUCGCGGAAUUCCCGGUGUAGAGGUGAAAUUCGUAGAUAUCGGGAGGAACACCAGCGGCGAAGGCGGCGACCUGGAUAGAUACUGACGCUGAGGUGCGAAAGCGUGGGGAGCAAACAGG